UGGAAAGCAACGCCUUUACGAGUAAAACAUGCGAGUCGAGAGGGUUCGGCCCUCGGUUGACGGCUCAGUAACACGUGGAUAAUCUGCCCUUAGGUGGAGGAUAAUCUCGGAGAACUGAGGAUAAUACUCCAUAAAUCUAGGAUGCUGGAAUGCAUCUAGAUUGAAAGCUCCGGCGCCUAAGGAUGAGUCUGCGGACUAUCAGGUUGUAGUCAGGGUAAAGACCUGACUAGCCUACGACGGAUACCGGGUUGGGAGAGCAAUAACCCGGAGACCGAUAUCUGAGACACCGAUAUCGGGCCCUACGGGGCGCAGCAGGCACGAAAACUUCACACUGUGCGAAAGCGCGAUGAGGGAAUCCCAAGUGUUUGCUCGUAAGAGUAAACUGUUUCUUUGGUUAAAACGCAAAGAGGAGUAGAGGGCUGGGUAAGACAGGGUGCCAGCCGCGCGGUAAUACCUGCAGGCUCGAGGUGGGGAUCAUUAUUAUUGGGCCUAAACGUGCGGACCGGGUUAGUAAAUGCUGAGUAAAUGGGUGAGCUUAGCUAUACAACUGCCGGGUAGAAUGUAAANUGAGACGCGGAAAAGUAGANGGCCUCCUGGGUAAAGGGGAAUCUGAAAUCUANGGGGACACNAUGGNNAAGGCUU
rnacentral:rRNA from 1 species